rnacentral:rRNA from 1 species
CAGCCGCCACGGUAAUACGUAGGUGGCAAGCGUUGUCCGGAAUUAUUGGGCGUAAGGGGCUCGCAGGCGGUUUCUUAAGUCUGAUGUGAAAGCCCCCGGCUCAACCGGGGAGGGUCAUUGGAAACUGGGAAACUUGAGUGCAGAAGAGGAGAGUGGAAUUCCACGUGUAGCGGUGAAAUGCGUAGAGAUGUGGAGGAACACCAGUGGCGAAGGCGACUCUCUGGUCUGUAACUGACGCUGAGGAGCGAAAGCGUGGGGAGCGAACAGGAUUAGAUACCCCUGUAGUCCCUGUCUCUUAUAC